rnacentral:rRNA from 1 species
GAUGAACGCUGGCGGCGUGCCUAAUACAUGCAAGUCGAGCGAACAGACGAGGAGCUUGCUCCUCUGACGUUAGCGGCGGCGGGGGGGUAACACGGGGGUAACCCUCCUUUAAGGACGGGGAAAACUUGGGAAACCGGGCGAAAAUCCGGGAAAAUAUUUUAAACCGCGUGUUUCAAGUGUAAAAGAGGUUUUUUGUGACCUUUAGAGAGGUCCCCGCCGCAUUAGCUCGUUGGUAAGGUAACGGCUUACCAAGGAGACGAUGCGUAGCCGACCUGAGAGGGUGAUCGGCCACACUGGAACUGAGACACGGUCCAGACUCCUACGGGAGGCAGCAGUAGGGAAUCUUCCGCAAUGGGCGAAAGCCUGACGGAGCAACGCCGCGUGAGUGAUGAAGGUCUUCGGAUCGUAAAACUCUGUUAUUAGGGAAGAACAAAUGUGUAAGUAACUAUGCACGUCUUGACGGUACCUAAUCAGAAAGCCACGGCUAACUACGUG